CCAACUCUUAGUGAGCCUGGACUCGUCCACGGUCUCGCGAAAUCUUGUAUUUAAAACCCGCACGUAUAAUUUUAAAACAUGACAGUUAUGAUAAAAAGUUAAAGA
rnacentral:misc_RNA from 1 species